UACGAAGGGGGCUAGCGUUGUUCGGAAUUACUGGGCGUAAAGCGCACGUAGGCGGAUCGAUCAGUCAGGGGUGAAAUCCCAGGGCUCAACCCUGGAACUGCCUUUGAUACUGUCGAUCUGGAGUAUGGAAGAGGUGAGUGGAAUUCCGAGUGUAGAGGUGAAAUUCGUAGAUAUUCGGAGGAACACCAGUGGCGAAGGCGGCUCUCUGGUCCAUUACUGACGCUGAGGUGCGAAAGCGUGGGGAGCAAACAGG
rnacentral:rRNA from 1 species